rnacentral:rRNA from 1 species
GACGAACGCCGGCGGCGUGCUUAACACAUGCAAGUCGAGCGGUAAGGCCCUUUCGGGGGUACGACGAGCGGCGAACGGGUGAGUAACACGUGGGUGACCUGCCCUCAGCUCUGGGAUAAGCCUGGGAAACUGGGUCUAAUACUGGAUAUGACUCCACGGUGCAUGUCGUGGGGUGGAAAGCCUUGUGCGGCUGAGGAUGGGCCCGCGGCCUAUCAGCUUGUUGGUGGGGUGAUGGCCUACCAAGGCGACGACGGUAGCCGGCCUGAGAGGGCGACCGGCCACACUGGGACUGAGACACGGCCCAGACUCCUACGGGAGGCAGCAGUGGGGAAUCUUGCGCAAUGGGCGAAAGCCUGGCGCAGCG